ensembl:lncRNA
UCCAUUUGAAAGCAGGUGAUGGGGAUUUACCGCUAAUCAUGGAACCGGCUUUACUGACGAGAUGCACAUGGUCAUAUCGUUCGAUAUAUUGUCCAGCCCUAGUCUUUACUCACUGUUUUGUAAUUUGAGAUAAAGAGUUUGUGGAUUAGCGUUCCAUGCAAUAGCCAGAUCUUAAAAGACAGCUUUGUGAAUUGAAUAUAUAUGCGUUUAUGCUCAGUCUGGUGACUGACUCGUUGGGCUGCAAAACAAAAAGCGGUCUUUCUCAACCCAAGGAACCGCUGAUUUAUAAUAGAGAUCAUUAUAUAAUAUAGAUCAUUAGAUUAUUAUAUAUAUAUAUAUAUAUAUAUAUAUAUAUAUAUCAGUGAGUGGAAGUAACAAUUAGUUGACGGUCCCUUGAGCAGCUUGUAGGUGUUUUGCUCUGCUAAGCAGCUGUUAUUGUUUCUGGAGCAUUACCCAUCCAAGUGCUCAUGGGUGUAAAAUGGAGACGGUCCGCUCGGAUGCCUUCAUCUGCAUUACACCACUGUAUCACACAUUGCAUGGCUCUUAAGGAUUUAUUUGGAUCACUAAUGCUAUAUAUAGUGAAUAUAGAGAUGCUUGACCUGAGGUGGUGGAGAUGCUGGAUAAUAUAACAGAAGGGUUUGGCAGAGCAGACGUCCCACUGCACCCGCGACUGAUGCUUUCACAGCCCUCCUCCAACAUCUACUGUUAGAAGAUGUGUUAUUAUUACUCUGUUUUCAUCUUUCCUGUAGUGUUCAGUUUGGCUAAGAGACGGUUGGCAAGCUGUCUAGAAAUCAGUCAGUUUAUUUUAUUUUAUUUUAUUUUAUUUAUUCGUCCAUUUUUCCUACAUUAAAAGUUUUAAAUUAUAUUUUUGUCUAAAUGUUAUUUUACUUUGUUUAGUUUGUGUGUCCUAUUUAGUUUACAUCUGCUUUA